rnacentral:rRNA from 1 species
UAGUGGCGCACGGUGAGUAACACGUGAAUAAUCUACCUCCGAGUGGGGAAUAACCAAAAGAAAUUUUGGCUAAUACCGCAUAACACUUACGAGUCGAAGCAGCAAUGCGCUUGGAGAGGAGUUCGCGGCAGAUUAGUUAGUUGGCGGGGUAAUGGCCCACCAAGACGAUGAUCUGUAUCCGGCCUGAGAGGGCGCACGGACACACUGGAACUGAAACACGGUCCAG